GUUUCUAGUGAAUGAUGAAACCCAAGUACCUGAGUGGAAGAAACUGAUUCAGGGCCACCAAUCCCCUCAGAAAUAAGAGGUCAUCACUGAAGACUUGAGCUGUCCUGUGGUUACAGUGUCCUGUUGAAAAAGCGUGGACCUUGGCAUGAGAUAACACUUGAUCUGCCAGCAUCCCUGUUCUGCAGAAAGAGGAGCGUCAAGAACCUGAGCUGAGAAUCCUGAGUCCUGGCCGCUGAACCCUGAGAAACAAGAGCUCAUCACUUCAAGUUUGGGUUGUCUUGUAGUUACAG